rnacentral:rRNA from 1 species
UGAGGAAUAUUGGUCAAUGGACGGAAGUCUGAACCAGCCAAGUAGCGUGCAGGAUGACGGCCCUACGGGUUGUAAACUGCUUUUGUAUGGGGAUAAAGUUAGGGACGCGUCCCUAUUUGCAGGUACCAUACGAAUAAGGACCGGCUAAUUCCGUGCCAGCAGCCGCGGUAAUACGGAAGGUCCAGGCGUUAUCCGGAUUUAUUGGGUUUAAAGGGAGCGUAGGCUGGAGAUUAAGUGUGUUGUGAAAUGUAGACGCUCAACGUCUGAAUUGCAGCGCAUACUGGUUUCCUUGAGUACGCACAACGUUGGCGGAAUUCGUCGUGUAGCGGUGAAAUGCUUAGAUAUGACGAAGAACUCCGAUUGCGAAGGCAGCUGACGGGAGCGCAACUGACGCUUAAGCUCGAAGGUGCGGGUAUCAAACAGGAUUAGAUACCCUGGUAGUCCGCACAGUAAAACGAUGGAUGCCCGCUGUUGGUACCUGGUAUCAGCGGCUAAGCGAAAGCAUUAAGCAUCCCACCUGGGGAGUACGCCGGCNCGGU